rnacentral:misc_RNA from 1 species
AAGUGUUUGAAAUUAUACUGUUUCAUGAUUUCUGCUUAAGUAUAGGUUUAAAUAUUAUUAAACAGACAACUAUUGAUAUCCUAAUCUAUUCGCUAAAAGGAUUUUAUUUCUAAAAUCCUUUUAGUGAAUUUUAGAAAAACUAUCGAAAGUACUCAUUGACUUGCCGUAAAGUCAGACAUUUCAUCUCUAUUUCCUUAUAUUUUAUUUAUUUAGCAUUCCAGGUAAGUUUUCGGGACUUCCACCAGGACAGAGGAUAGGAAUUAGCAGAGUUAUAUAGAGCGAUAUAUAUAAACUAACGACUCUUUAAAUCGAGCAUCAACAUUUUAUUUAACGAUGCCAUUGUCAUUCUUCACUAAAAGUUUUGUUUCUAAGAAUACAGCGAAGGCUGACAAUGGGAUAAAGUCAUCUCGACGGAAAAGGCGCUUAAUCUCCAGAUCUCAGAGCAAUAUCACCCCCUCCGACAUUCAAAGUUGGCUGUCAAAUAUUGAACCAACAAUUCCAAGUCAAGGAUAUUUCCAGAACACUGAUGAUAAAUCAUAUCCUUUUUCAAGGGUCAAAUUCAAGCAGUCACUGGCCCAGAUGACUUUAGACCAGUUACGACACCAUGAUGAAGCUCAAAAAGAAGCUGAAGAUUUACUGAAUGACUGGGUCCAGAAAAGCCUUUAUGACUCUAAUUUGGCUGACAAGGACAACCUAUAUGUCAUAGAUAAUAAGGAACUGGAAGAGGUACCAUGUAAAGAUUACUUGGACAUUUACGAAACAGACUCACGUUUGGAUUUCAAUGAAGAUGAAGCACUGGAAACUGUGUUGCAAAACAUGCUUAAGAAAGAGUUGGUCCCUAAAAGGAUUUUCUCUAAUUUAGGAUUAGAUAAUUCAAAACAACAACAUGACCCUUCUGUGAAAAUGGAACUGAGGCGGCAACAGGUGAAAGAAAAUCGUUUGAAGCGAGAAAAUGACAUUAAUCAAAAAAGACAAGAGCAGCAGAUGAAAAAAGAAGCUCACUUGAAAGCUUACCAAAGAAUUAUGAAGGAAGAGAGAUUAAAAGCAAUAAAGCACCAACAAGAAGAGCGAGAGAUUCAAAAACAGAUGGCAGCUAUACGAAGACAGAUGCUGGCAGAGAAAAAGGAACAGAAAGGAAAGAAACAAGAACAAAUCCAACUUACCAAUGAUUGUCCUCAGCAACCAGCAACUGAAAUAACCCCACAUAAGAAUUUCUCCAGCAUUGAACAAUGCACCACAAUGGCUAAGACAGAACAAAAAAUGGCCAAGUAUGAAGCUUUGAAAGUCAAACAGAAAGCUAUCAACAUACAGAUUUUACAACGACAUUUUAUGGCUUGGACAAGUGUCAUAUUACAGAAAAGGGUGAGAUAUGGAAAGGUUUCUGCUCUGGCUGACUGGAAGUUAUUGCUACGUCAUUGGAAUGCAUGGAAAUCCUUGUCAAUGCAGAAUAAAAUGGAGAAAGAAUUGCAAGUUCACCAACAGAACAUGAGAGAAUGUCAAAGAAAAGACAAAAUGGCAGGUGAGCACUACAUCACAAAGUUGAUGAAGAAGUGCUUCUGGACAUGGCAACUAUACCUUCACAGAGAAAAAGAAUGCCAGCGUUUAAAACUCUCUCAGAAAGAAACCAAAGUCAAAAUGGAGAAACUCUUAAUUGCUGCUGCUUCAGGAAAAAUAAAUGUGGUCAAUUCUUUGAGCAAUUCUGAGACCAAAUCUAAAAAUUUAACCAAGAAGAAGCCAGACAUUGAGAAAUGCAUUAAACAAGUGAAAAUUUCAAGUGUUCCAUGCAAUUCUGAUGGUAGUAUUAUUGGGUGUUCACAAUUGUCAAGUGUACCAUGGAAAGCUUCAAGAAAGCUGCUGGACAUGGAAACUCCUCAAUUUUGUCAGCUUGUUGCAGGAACAAAUACUGAAACCUAUUCUUCAGAUCAGAAACAGACAACUUCUCGACCCCUGUCAGCACCAAAUAAGUUCCAGAUGCACUCAAUAGAAAGGAAAUUGGAAUUCCAAAAGAAUUUCAUGAAAGAACAACAAAAGCAGUUAAAAGAACAGAAACGAUUAAUUGAAGAAUUGCAAAGCAAUCAACGCUGUGAAAAGUUGAAGAAUGAAAUCUCAAUGAAAACGAAGACUAAUCAAGGAGUUAAUAUUAAUCCAUUGUCAUCAAUUAAAUCUGGAGGUGUGAAACAGCAGAUUCUGAACCAAACAUCAAAACAUUCUUCAGCAGAGAGUUGCUCUCCAGAGUCUCAAGUAGAAUCUCAAACAGAUUCACGGGCAGAAUCUCGGACAGACUCAUGGAUUGAAUCCCGAAUGGAAUUUUAUGCAGAAUCUCAUAUAGAGUCUAAUACAGAAAUUCAGACAGAAUCUGAAAUAGACUCUCAAACAGACUCUCGAAUAGGAUCUCGAAUCGGAUCUCAGACAGAAUCUCGAGCAGACUCUCGGACAGACGCUCGGACAGGCUCUCGCACUGAGUCAUAUGAUGAGUCUUGUCCUUCAUCUUCUACCAGAACUUCAUCUCAAAAUCGAUCUCAAAGACACCAAACAUUCGUGAGAAAUCUGGAGAAUCGUGCCAAUGAGAGAAAGCACUUAAAGAUGGAAAGGGAAGCUCGGAAGAGAAGAGAAAUGGAAGAAAAAUUGAUGAUGGAGAAAAAAUGUAUAGAGGAGUGUAUCAAGGCAGAAAAAGAUGAGAGGAGAGCUCGCGUGAAAGCAAUUGAACAGCAGAAACAUUUAGAGGAACAGAGAAAAGCUGAGCAAGAACAGAGAAUGAAAGAGUUGGAAGAAUUAAACUCAAAAGCUGAUGAUUUCUAUAGACUAUAUUUGUUGAAAAUAUAUGGAGUUUUACCUUGGAAGGAGUUUAUAGCCAAGAUACAUAACACUGAAUCUAAAGCUAUUGAAAUGGACAAAUGUAGAAUUCAGAAAAAAAAUUUUAAUGAGCUGGCACAACCAUGUCCAAAAAUUAAUCAAUGAGAAAACCAACUCUGCUGACAUCUUCUAUGAAAAAGCGUUAGUCAGGCGUCACUUCAUCUGUUGGAAGAAUCAUAAGAAUUACCAACUUGCCUUAGAGAAGAAAGCGAAAAAGUAUUUUGCAAGCAAUCUCUGCCGUACAGUCUUCAAUGCU